rnacentral:rRNA from 1 species
GAUGAACGCUGGCGGCGUGCUUAACACAUGCAAGUCGAACGGAAAGGCUCCUGCUUGCAGGGGUACUCGAGUGGCGAACGGGUGAGUAACACGUGGGUGAUCUGCCCUGCACUUCGGGAUAAGCCUGGGAAACUGGGUCUAAUACCGGAUAGGACGAUGGUUUGGAUGCCAUUGUGGAAAGUUUUUCGGUGUGGGAUGAGCUCGCGGCCUAUCAGCUUGUUGGUGGGGUAAUGGCCUACCAAGGCGUCGACGGGUAGCCGGCCUGAGAGGGUGUACGGCCACAUUGGGACUGAGAUACGGGCCAGACUCCUACGGGAGGCAGCAGUGGGGAAUAUUGCACAAUGGGCGCAAGCCUGAUGCAGCGACGCCGCGUGGGGGAUGACGGCCUUCGGGUUGUAAACUCCUUUCGCUAGGGACGAAGCGCAAGUGACGGUACCUGGAGAAGAAGCACCGGCUAACUACGUG